UAUUACCGCGGCUGCUGCAUCCCGCCGCGCGCGGCGGGCGGGGCGGGGGCACGGGGGACUCCUACGGGAGGCAGCAGUGGGGAAUAUUGGACAAUGGGCGAAAGCCUGAUCCAGCCAUGCCGCGUGUGUGAAGAAGGCCUUCGGGUUGUAAAGCACUUUAAGUGGGGAGGAAUGGCUCUUGGUUAAUAACCUUGAGCAGUGACGUUACCCACAGAAUAAGCACCGGCUAACUCUGUGCCAGCAGCCGCGGUAAU
rnacentral:rRNA from 1 species